UUACAGGCGAUGAAGGACGUAGUAGCUUGCGAUAAGCUGCGGGGAGUGAGCAAACACACUUUGAUCCGCAGAUUUCCGAAUGGGGCAACCCACCCUUUUAGGGUAUUGCAUACUGAAUACAUAGGUAUGCAAGGCGAACGCGGCGAACUGAAACAUCUAAGUAGCCGCAGGAAAAGAAAUCAACCGAGAUUCCCAAAGUAGCGGCGAGCGAAAUUGGAAGAGCCUGUACGUGACAGUCGGAC
rnacentral:rRNA from 1 species